rnacentral:lncRNA from 1 species
UUUGAAACCCUAACCUUAAACAUAUCAGCCGUUCACCAUCUACCUUCCCUCUCAAAUUCUUUAUCUCCUUCACUUUAUCCAUACACACCCAUAAACCACCUUAUUCUCUCAAAUCUCAGACAUAACAUAAACAAACACCCUGUCUCCUCUCUUGAAGUUGAUGAGUUGAGUUGUGUUGUUGGCUUCUGUGUCGAAGAUGGUGAUGAUGUUGAAGACGGCUCGGGUGUUGGUUCAGCCCGGGUCGCGUACCGUUCAGAUUCGGGUCGAGGGUGGUUCGAGCUUCGUAUUCUGAGUUUGUUUCGGGUUAUUGUACGAAACAACACAACAUGAAGGAGUUAUAGAAAGUAUUCCGUUGUUUGCUAGAGAACUGAUUGCCGGUGGUGUUGCUGGUGGAGUUGCCAAGACAACCGUUGCUCCUCUCGAGCGUCUCAAGAUCUUGUUUCUGGUUAUUUGCAAAUUGUGCAUAUAGUAUUUUGGGCGAAACUUGUGUUUUAAUGGAUUUUGAAACCACUCAAAUUAUAACAAUUAUUUAACUUUAGACAUGUUAUAAGAAUCCAGCACAUGUUAUAAGAAUCCAGGUUGACUUGUUUAACAAUUAACAUAUUCAAGGACCAAAAGGGGGGACAUAAGUGAAUGUUGGAGUUUCGUGUGUUAGAUAUUUUAGCGUAACGGGAUUAACUUGGUUAUCAAAGGGAAUUAUAAUACACAUCGAACAAGUUGGGAGGUGCGGGAGUGCACGCUUGUGUUCCGAAGCAUAUUUAUCAUUAUGCAUUUUUCAGCACGAAAAAGCAAGAAAAAGAAUAAACAGGUUUUGUCACAUUCUGUAGGAAACAAAGAUAAAUUCGUAGGAAAUGUGUGGGAAAAAUAA